rnacentral:rRNA from 1 species
GACGAACGCUGGCGGCGUGCCUAAUACAUGCAAGUCGAGCGGACCGAAGGGAGCUUGCUCCUUUAGGUUAGCGGCGGACGGGUGAGUAACACGUGGGCAACCUGCCCUGCAGACUGGGAUAACUUCGGGAAACCGGAGCUAAUACCGGAUAACACCGAAAACCGCAUGGUUUUCGGUUGAAAGGCGGCUUUUAGCUGUCACUGCAGGAUGGGCCCGCGGCGCAUUAGCUAGUUGGUGAGGUAACGGCUCACCAAGGCGACGAUGCGUAGCCGACCUGAGAGGGUGACCGGCCACACUGGGACUGAGACACGGCCCAGACUCCUACGGGAGGCAGCAGUAGGGAAUCUUCCGCAAUGGACGAAAGUCUGACGGAGCAACGCCGCGUGAGCGAAGAAGGUCUUCGGAUCGUAAAGCUCUGUUGUCAGGGGAGAACAAGUAUCGUUCGAACAGGGCGGUACCUUGACGGUACCUGACGAGGAAGCCACGGCUAACUAC